AGAGUUUGAUCAUGGCUCAGAUUGAACGCUGGCGGCAGGCCUAACACAUGCAAGUCGGACGGUAGCACAGAGGAGCUUGCUCCUUGGGUGACGAGUGGCGGACGGGUGAGUAAUGUCUGGGAAACUGCCUGAUGGAGGGGGAUAACUACUGGAAACGGUAGCUAAUACCGCAUAACCUCGCAAGAGCAAAGUGGGGGACCUUCGGGCCUCACGCCAUCGGAUGUGCCCAGAUGGGAUUAGCUAGUAGGUGGGGUAACGGCUCACCUAGGCGACGAUCCCUAGCUGGUCUGAGAGGAUGACCAGCCACACUGGAACUGAGACACGGUCCAGACUCCUACGGGAGGCAGCAGUGGGGAAUAUUGCACAAUGGGCGCAAGCCUGAUGCAGCCAUGCCGCGUGUAUGAAGAAGGCCUUCGGGUUGUAAAGUACUUUCAGCGGGGAGGAAGGCGGUGAGGCUAACUAUUCCUUUAUUCAUCUGCCCGUAGACUUAUGCU
rnacentral:rRNA from 1 species